rnacentral:rRNA from 1 species
AGCGAACGCUGGCGGCAGGCCUAACACAUGCAAGUCGAACGAACCUUUCGGGGUUAGUGGCGGACGGGUGAGUAACACGUGGGAACGUGCCUUUAGGUUCGGAAUAACUCAGGGAAACUUGUGCUAAUACCGAAUGUGCCCUUCGGGGGAAAGAUUUAUCGCCUUUAGAGCGGCCCGCGUCUGAUUAGCUAGUUGGUUGAGGUAAUGGCUCACCAAGGCGACGAUCAGUAGCUGGUCUGAGAGGAUGAUCAGCCACAUUGGGACUGAGACACGGCCCAAACUCCUACGGGAGGCAGCAGUGGGGAAUCUUGCGCAAUGGGCGAAAGCCUGACGCAGUCAUGCCGCGUGAAUGAUGAAGGUCUUAGGAUUGUAAAAUUCUUUCACCGGGGACGAUAAUGACGGUACCCGGAGAAGAAGCCCCGGCUAACUUCGUG